AGUAGCCAGUGUAGAUCC
rnacentral:miRNA from 1 species